rnacentral:rRNA from 1 species
AGCGAACGCUGGCGGCAGGCCUAACACAUGCAAGUCGAGCGCCCGUAGCAAUACGGGAGCGGCAGACGGGAUAGUAACACGUGGGAACGUACCCUUCAGUUCGGAACAACCCAGGGAAACUUGGGCUAAUACCGAAUACGUCCGUAAGGAGAAAGAUUUAUCGCUGAAGGAUCGGCCCGCGUCUGAUUAGCUAGUUGGUGGGGUAAUGGCCCACCAAGGCGACGAUCAGUAGCUGGCUGAGAGGAUGAUCAGCAUCACUGGGACUGAGACACGGCCCAGACUCCUACGGGAGGCAGCAGUGGGGAAUAUUGGACAAUGGGCGCAAGCCUGAUCCAGCCAUGCCGCGUGGAUGAUGAAGGCCCUAGGGUUGUAAGCUCUGUGGGGAGGGACGAAUAAGUGCUGGCUAACAUCCAGCGCGAUGACGGUACCUCUUUAGCAAGCACCGGCUAACUCUGUGCCAGCAG